GGCCCCAUAGCUCAGUUGGUAGAGCAGCUGACUCUUAAUCAGCGGGUCGUAGGUUCGAGUCCUACUGGGGUCA
rnacentral:tRNA from 2 species